CCACCUGUACCCUUGGCUACCUGUAGCCUUGAUUGCCUAGAGUUUGGUCGCCUGUUGCCUCAAUUGCCUACAACUUGGCCGCCUGUAGCCUUAGCCGCCUGUACCCCUAACAACCCGCAGCCUUGGUCACUGGUAGCCUCGGCCACCGGCAGCCUCAAUUGCCUACAGUUUGGUCGCCUGUUGCCUCAAUUGCCUACAGUUUGGUCGCCUGUUGCCUCAAUUGCCUACAGUUUGGUCGCCUGUUGCCUCAAUUGCCUACAGUUUGGUCGCCUGUUGCCUCAAUUGCCUACAGUUUGGUCGCCUGUUGCCUCAAUUGCCUACAGUUUGGUCGCCUGUUGCCUCAAUUGCCUACAGUUUGGUCGCCUGUUGCCUCAAUUGCCUACAGUUUGGUCGCCUGUUGCCUCAAUUGCCUACAGUUUGGUCGCCUGUUGCCUCAAUUGCCUACAGUUUGGUCGCCUGUUGCCUCAAUUGCCUACAGUUUGGUCGCCUGUUGCCUCGAUUGCCUGUACCUUGGUCACCAGUAGCCUUGGCCGCCUGUACCCCUGGCCACCUGUAGCCUUGACCACCAGUACCCUCGGCCACCGGUAGCCUUGGCCACUUCCAGCUUGGUCACCGGUAGCCUUGGCCACCAGCAGCCUCGAUUGCCUAGAGUUUGGUCGCCUGUUGCCUCAGUUGCCUCCAGUUUGGACGCCUGUUGCCUCGGUUGCCUACAAUUCGGUCGCCUGUAGCCUCGGCCGUCGGUAGCCACGACCGCCUAGAGCUUAGCCACCUCCAACUUUCAGUCGCCCCGGCCGCCUGUACGUCCUUCCCCCCGCCUGUACUUACCUGGGGGCUUCCGACAGCCCCGGGGAAGGCCCGGUUGUGGUUGGGAGGUGGGACAUGCGGUUGUAGGGGGGAGCAAAAGGGUGUUGCGGCGGGGGGUACUCACAGUGCAUGUCCCGCUCGUGCUCGUACUCGAUGAAGGCGUAACCACGGGGCUUCCCGGAGCGCUUGUUGUACACCAUGUAGAUCUGUAUUUAAAAAAACACCCCAAAAAGAGGUGUAAAACGAGGUGUCACCCCAAAAAACGGGUGUUGGGGGGGUGUUUUUUUGGGGGGUUGGGGGGAACCCCCACGCUCACCCGCUUGAUGGGGCCGUAGACCUCGAAUUCGCGUCGCAGCUUGGACUCCGUCGUGUCGUAGUUCUGGAGGGGUGUGGGGGGGGAAGAAAUGGGGGUGUUUCUCAAAUUGGGGGGGGUCAGGUGGAUCGGGGGGAGCCCCACGGAUUGGGGGGAGCCCCAGAGAUUA
rnacentral:lncRNA from 1 species